rnacentral:lncRNA from 1 species
GGCUUUCCUUGGCCUACAACAAACCCGUCUCAUCACCUAAUGAUUCUUUCAGUCCGCUACUUUGUUUCAUUCAUUCUUUGGUUCCACUUCAUCACCAGCCCAACUUAGAAUGAAGCUCGUCCCAGUUUACUUCACUCGAGAAUUCCAAGCCCGACACAUUGCUUCCCUUGCAGGUUUAGUUAGAGUUUCUUUCUAGGAAAGUUAGGGUCUAGACACUAGGGUUUAAUUGGAAAAAAUAAGACCUAAUUUUAAUUCUUGGGACGUCAUAAUUUGAUUAGAG